AUGCACAUGGAAAUGUCUGCUUCUCAUUCCUGUGUGGGCGGGGAUAUAUUCCUAACAUGCUAAUUAAAAAAGGAGUUCUCAGGGCUUCUGACUACAGUGGAGGUUGGGUGGUAAUAGAUUUUUCCAACAAAA
ensembl:snoRNA